rnacentral:rRNA from 1 species
ACUAAACAAUWCAKGCAAWUGCGAUAGRGRGACAUYGAGUGGCAUCCACCUUGGGUGCCUGUCCAACCGUCUAAAAAASGGUUGUUAGCAAGGGCCGGGUAAGACCGGUGCCAGCCGCCGCGGUAAUACCGGCGGCUCGAGUGGUGGCCGAUAUUAUUGAGUCUAAAGGGUCCGUAGCCGGCUUUGUAAGUCCCCUGGGAAAUCCAGCGGCUUAACCGUUGGGCUUUCAUGGGAUACUACAUUGCUUGGGACUGGGAUAGGUAGGACGUACUCGGGGGGUAKGG